rnacentral:rRNA from 1 species
GACGAACGCUGGCGGCGUGCUUAACACAUGCAAGUCGAGCGGUAAGGCCCUUUUGGGGGUACACGAGCGGCGAACGGGUGAGUAACACGUGGGUGACCUGCCCUCAGCUCUGGGAUAAGCCUGGGAAACUGGGUCUAAUACUGGAUAUGACUCCACGGUGCAUGUCGUGGGGUGGAAAGCCUUGUGCGGCUGAGGAUGGGCCCGCGGCCUAUCAGCUUGUUGGUGGGGUGANGGCCUACCAAGGCGACGGCGGGUAGCCGGCCUGAGAGGGCGACCGGCCACACUGGGACUGAGACACGGCCCAGACUCCUACGGGAGGCAGCAGUGGGGAAUCUUGCGCAAUGGGCGAAAGCCUGACGCAGCGACGCCGCGUGAGGGAUGACGGCCU